rfam:Triticum aestivum genome assembly, contig: Triticum_aestivum_CS42_TGACv1_scaffold_405493_5BL
UUUUUGCUCCCUCCGUUCGAAAAAGCUUGUCCCAAGCUUGUCUCUCAAAUGAAUGUAUCUAGCACUAACUUGGUGCUAGAUACAUCCAUCUGAGGGACAAGUUUUUUCGAACAGAUGGAGUACUUG